rnacentral:lncRNA from 12 species
AUGUUCCACUUCCUUAUUCACCCAUUAUUAGAGUCUCAUUCUGUAUCUUCUCUCACACUCGCUGUUAUGGAGCUGUUCAUCUUCAUAGUUUUUCAGCUCCUGAUGGAGGUUCAGUCUCACCGAUUUCCUAAAGUAAAAGUAUCUCCAGAUGUCAUCAGAGAGUCCAGCUCAGUGAAGAUCAGCUGUGAGACAGAACCACGUGUUACAGUGAUUAAAUGUGAUUUCUACAUAAACAGUGAGGAGAAGAAAAUGAAAACCAGUCCAUCAUGUGAGCUCGAGCUCACUGGUGCUGAAGUGUUCAGAUGGGCAGCUGUAACAUCACCUGAAUCACUCAACAUUAUCUGUUACUACACAAUGAUAAAUGUGCAAGGCUCAUUCAUAACAUCAUCUGAUUCUGAUCCUGCCACAGUGACGGUUCUAGGUGAGAUAUUUCACUGCUGUUCUUCUGUAUUAGAAACUUUUAUUCCAGUGUUUUUACUGAUCAUGGAUUAUUUUACGUUAUACAGAUUCACUUGAUAAACACAUCAUCAGUUAGUGAUGAUGAUGUUACACCUAUAGGGCACUUCUGGAUGGAUUGGAUAUUAUUUGUAAAAACCCUUUCAAUACACUUUAAUAGUAUUACUACCUUAAGG